rnacentral:rRNA from 1 species
GGCGCGUAGGCGGAUUAUCAAGUCUCUUGUGAAAUCUAAUGGCUUAACCAUUAAACUGCUUGGGAAACUGAUAGUCUAGAGUGAGGGAGAGGCAGAUGGAAUUGGUGGUGUAGGGGUAAAAUCCGUAGAUAUCACCAAGAAUACCCAUUGCGAAGGCGAUCUGCUGGAACUCAACUGACGCUAAGGCGCGAAAGCGUGGGGAGCAAACAGGAUUAGAUACCCUGGUAGUCCACGCCCUAAACGAUGUACACUAGUUGUUGGGGUGCUAGUCAUCUCAGUAAUGCAGCUAACGCAUUAAGUGUACCGCCUGGGGAGUACGGUCGCAAGAUUAAAACUCAAAGGAAUAGACGGGGACCCGCACAAGCGGUGGAGCAUGUGGUUUAAUUCGAAGAUACGCGAAGAACCUUACCUGGGCUUGAUAUCCUAAGAACCUUAUAGAGAUAUGAGGGUGCUAGCUUGCUAGAACUUAGAGACAGGUGCUGCACGGCUGUCGUCAGCUCGUGUCGUGAGAUGUUGGGUUAAGUCCCGCAACGAGCGCAACCCACGUAUUUAGUUGCUAACGGUUCGGCCGAGCACUCUAAAUAGACUGCCUUCGUAAGGAGGAGGAAGGUGUGGACGACGUCAAGUCAUCAUGGCCCUUAUGCCCAGGGCGACACACGUGCUACAAUGGCAUAUACAAUGAGACGCAAUACCGCGAGGUGGAGCAAAUCUAUAAAAUAUGUCCCAGUUCGGAUUGUUCUCUGCAACUCGAGAGCAUGAAGCCGGAAUCGCUAGUAAUCGUAGAUCAGCCAUGCUACGGUGAAUACGUUCCCGGGUCU